GAUCGCCUCACUGCACUCUGGCCUAGGUGACGGAGCAAAACUCUGUUUCAAAAAGAAAAAAAAAAAAGAGUGAGUGUGCUUAGCUCACACAGAGGGGAGAACUGGAGAAGGACACAGAGACGUGAAUGAUGCAGAGCCAUAGAUCAUGCAGAACCAUUGACCUUUGUUUCUGAAACUCAUUGUGAUGUUUCCAACCCUUCCACCUCAUCCCCAAACACGCCUCACUCACCUGCUUGGCUGGGCAGAGAAGCUAACUGCACCUGUGAUGGCUGUCGCCCUGGUACAGGCAGUGAGGACAGAGCUACCUACCGCUUACUGAGACCCUGCCAGUGCUUGGCUUUGUUCUGAGGGUUUCGCUUAGUGCAUCAUUGUCUUCUGCACUAUGAGACGCCCCGAAGGUGCGAGUCAUGGUUUCUAGCUUUAUUUAGCUUACAGCUACUUUAGGAAAGUGAAACAGGGAAUCAUUAAGUGCUCAAUGAUUGCUGUGCUGUUGCCUCAAAGAACAGGAGACCUUUAGGGAGGGGGGAAAUGUGGCUGGAAUGAGCAUGGAGCAGAGAUCUUUGUGCAAACACCUUCACCAGACCCUUCUAAGAGGGAGGGAAAGUGACCAAUCAGGCAAGGACCAUGACAGUGGUCAAGGCUCUUUGCAAGCUCUGAGUACUGGGUAUGAACAGGCACCUGUUAGGGGGCCCAGCCAGCUGCAGGAAAAGUCUGGGUGAGGAGUCAGUGAGAAAUAAGACUGGGUAGGUGGGUGGGGCUGGAUGAAGCAUCUGGAACUCCAGAGGGGUGUAGACUUGGCCAGGGCUUCUCAGACUGGUGGCAGACACAACCACACUUGUCAAAGGCUUGCCCCUUCACUCCAUCUCCACUAUGAGCAUCUCCAACCUGGGUGACUCCCGGGCCUCCCGAAUGGUCUUGUGGCUCCACUGCUGUCUGCCGGCAGGCAGCUCUCCACAGAGCAGCCACAGGGAGCUUUGAGACCUGUAAACCAGAGCAUGGUGUUCCCCCUGCUGAAAACCUUUCAAAUGCUUCCUGAUGAACCUGGGAGAAAAUGCAAGGAAAGCGUGGCCCACCCCUUUCUCCACCUCAUGCCCCUCUACCCUUUCCCCUACUACAGUCAUACCAGCCUUCCUGUGUCCCUCAUGCACAUCUGCCUUGCCAGGCCCGUUCCUCCAUACAGCUGUGGCACUUGCUCGUUCCCCAGCCUGGAGCACUGCCCCUAGACUGCCGCAUGCCGGCGCGCUCAUUCAGGUCCCACAUCAAACGUCAUCUCUUCAGAGAGGCCUCCCUGACUGUCCAGUCUAACGUGCAACACGCGCCCCACCAACUGCCUCUGCCCCCAUGUCAGACACUAUUCUGGAUCUGAGGACACAGCCAGGAACAAGACAGAAGAGGCUCCUGAUGUCAGGGAGCUCCCAUGCCAGCAUGGAGCAUUGGAUGUGGACACAGCAGUGUCAGGCAGUGAUAAUUCUGGGGUAACCACAAUUCUGACUUGGAUCAUCAUCAGUUGAUCUUACCUGUUCUUGAACUUCAUCUGAAUGGAAUCAUAGGUACUCUUGUGUGUCUGGCUGCUUUUGCUCAGCCUCUCUGUGAGAUUCCUCUUCACUGUCACAUGUAGCAGAGGUUUGUUCAUUUUAUUGCUGUUCGGUGUUACCGCGUAUGAAUGCAGCACAGUUGGCUCACUCUCCUGUUGAUGGGCUUUUGGAUUGGUUCCCUUUUUUUGACAAUUGUGAAUAAAGCUGCUCUGAGCAUUCUUGUACUC